rnacentral:rRNA from 1 species
CCUACGGGUGGCAGCAGUGAGGAAUAUUGGUCAAUGGCCGAGAGGCUGAACCAGCCAAGUCGCGUGAGGGAAGACGGUCCUACGGGUUGUAAACCUCUUUUGUCGGGGAGCAAAGCGACCCACGUGUGGGUAGUUGAGCGUACCCGCAGAAAAAGCAUCGGCUAACUCCGUGCCAGCAGCCGCGGUAAUACGGGGGAUGCGAGCGUUAUCCGGAUUUAUGGGGGUUAAAGGGUGGGGAGGCGGAGUCUCAAGUCAGCGGUCAAAUGUGGGGGCUAAACCCCGUACUGCGGUUGAAACUGUUUACCUUGAGUGCGCGAGAAGUAUGCGGAAUGCGGGGUGUAGCGGUGAAAUGCAUAGAUAUCACGCAGAACUCCGAUUGCGAAGGCAGCAUACCGGCGCGAAACUGACGCUGAGGCACGAAAGCGUGGGUAUCGAACAGGAUUAGAUACCCGAGUAGUC